rnacentral:rRNA from 1 species
GACAGAGGGUGCAAACGUUGUUCGGAAUUACUGGGCGUAAAGGGCGCGUAGGCGGCGCGGUAAGCGUGCGGUGAAAGCCCGGGGCUCAACCCCGGGUCGGCCGUGCGGACUGCCGGGCUGGAGCACUGUAGAGGCAGGUGGAAUUCCGGGUGUAGCGGUGGAAUGCGUAGAGAUCCGGAAGAACACCGGUGGCGAAGGCGGCCUGCUGGGCAGUAGCUGACGCUGAAGCGCGACAGCGUGGGGAGCAAACAGG